rnacentral:rRNA from 1 species
AACAACUCACCUGCCGAAUGAACCAGCCCUGAAAAUGGAUGACGCUUAAGCGUGCAGCCGACACCCCGCCGUUUGGGCAAAAAGCGACCUAAAUGAGUAGGAGGGCGUGGCGGUCUUGUGAGGAAGGUUGAGACGCGAGUCUGACUGAAACGACCGCUAGUGCAGAUCUUGGUGGUAGUAGCAAAUAUUCAAGCGGGAUCCUUGAAGGGCGAAGCGGGGAAGGGUUCCAUGCGAACAUUGAUUGGGCGUGGGUGAGUCGUCCCUAAGCCGGGUGGUAAUCGUUCUUCGAAGCGGCGAAAGGGAAGCGGGUUAAAAUUCCUGCACACGGAUGUGGAGGCGGUGACGCAAAUUGAGGUGAAGACAUCAGCGGUGGCGCUAGGCAGAGUUUUCUUUUCUGUUUGACCUGUGAGAUGCACGGUGUGGAAUCCGAUUAUCGGGAGAAACACGGGCCGAAUGGGCAGAGCGUCGGGGCGUCCCCGGCGUCUAGCACGCCACCGAUGGUCCUUGAAAAUUCAUCUGCAAUAAAAUUUCACGCCGUGGCGUACCGAUAACCGCAUCAGGUCCCCAAGGUGAACAGCCUCUGCUCAAUAUGAACAAU